CUGGUGGUUUACGUAAGAGGGAGAGCAAUGGGGACGGGCAGGGACAGAGCUGCGGGCUGAGGUUCCUCCGUUCGGCGAAGCCCCUUCUCUCUGCCCCCGCCUGCUCUGGGCUUUCUUGGCUAUGUCUGCUCCUGACAGGAGGGAUGUGUGUUGCCAGGGGUGGGGGCUUGGCGUGUGUGCGUGUGAGAAUAUGUGUGUGUGUUUAAAAUACAAAAAAAAAAAAAAAAGAAGCGUGCCUAUACUCAGCCGCGAGACGCUGGCCAGCCUCCAUCCGUGCCAACUCCCCUCCGAGCUGGCACUGGGGACUCCGGAGGCACGGGGAGGAGGAAGGUGCGGGCAGCUUGCGGUGAGGAUGGACGCGUGCCACCGACGUAUGCCAGCGGCUGCAGGGGGCCAAACGCCUAUCCACAAAACCCACCGCGAUCGCUGGCAGCCGUGGCGGGAGGCGGCAGCAGUUGGCAGAGGUGCCAGGGAGGGCCGGCUGGGGCAGGUGGAUCCUGGCAGCAGCAGCGCAGGGGUCACGCUCCAGGCCUUUCUCCAAGCCCUCCCCGCGCUGGGACGCAUUUACCCGCCUGCCUGUUGACUUCGGCUGGCACCCACUCCUGGGCUGCUCAGAGCUGCUGCUCCCUGUUGAUGAGCACUGUAGGUGGCUUCGAGAUGCACGCCUCGGGACGAUCUGCCUUCCUCCCCCGCCUGCCAUUCCCGCACUGACAAACGUCUGCCCUGGGUGUUAGGAGCGAGGUGCACAUUGCACCUUACAUCCUCAUGGGCGGCUCCAGGAGCCUCACUGCAGCUGAUGAGUACUUAACACCAUCAUCCAUCUGUGUGGCCGUUGGGGCUGGCACAGAAGCUCUGGAUGCCUCUACCUGGAAACCAGGGCUGUUCUCCCUGGAUGGCAGGAAGGAAGCAGGUGGGAGGCGGGCGGAGGUGCUUGUUCCACCGGCACUCCUGGGUUCUGAGGACAUGGCACUUCCCCGCCUGUGUCUUGCUUUGGCCAUAGGUUCUGAGCUUCUGCUUCUCCUCUGUGGGUACGAGGGCCGCUCUGGCAUUAUGUCUUCUAGACCUGCGCCUCCUUCAGACGUCAGGGCCGUGCACUCAGACACCUCCAGUGAAAGCUUUUGGGGUUUGGAUGGAUGGACAGAUGGACAAAUUAACAGCAUUCUGCACUUGGAAUGACAAAACUUUAGGCAAGAAAAGGGUCAUUGGAGAAUAUCUAGUCCAACACUCUAAUGGGAUAGAGAGGGAAACUGAGGCCAGCAGAAAGCAUGUCACCUGACCCAGUCACAGCCCUUGGAUACAGAGGGAAACUGAGGCCAGCAGAAAGGAUGUCACUGGACCCAGUCAGCCCUUGGAUAGAGAGGGAAACUGAGGCCAGCAGAAAGUGUGUCACCAGACCCAGUCAGCCCUUGGAUAGAGAGGGAAACUAACGCCAGCACAAAGGAUGUCACCGGACCCAGUCAGCCCUUGGCCUAGGACCUGCAGACAGGCCACCUGCUGCUUCUGUGACCCCCACAGCCCAGACUCACACAUCUUCCUCCAGGUCAGGGAGUGAAGGGGUCUGCAGUCCUCUCCAACUGAGGGCAGGGACAGUCUCUACGUCCUGAGACCCCAGGCCCCUGACCUACCUGCCGGCCUGCCUGGCAAGGGCACACCUAUCAGGUUGCACCAUAAGGCCACCGGGCUGGGUCUGACUCACCCACAAUCCAUCAGCCUGCUGGUCUUUACACAUUCUGGGAGAGGCAAGAAUCUCUGUAGUUGCUAAAACACUUCCUCUUGGUUAUUCUGAGAACUAAAAACACACAUUAUUUGAAAGUCUUGGGUUUAGUCUAAUCUAAACCCCUCAGGUCGUGACUUAAGCUCUGGCCUCAGAGGUCUCCAUUUAUGCUUGGAUGAGCCACUCCUUUGGUCUUUGUCCCCUCACUGGAAGGCAUGUCCAUGAGGAAAUGGGGAGAAGAAUAUAGAGCUAUGAACUUGGAAUUUUGGUGUCAGAAGGACCUAGGUUCAAGUUCAGGCUCUAUCACUAGCUAGGGACCUCACUUUCUUCAUCUGUAGACUGACGAUAAUAAUAGUACAUACCUCAAAAGAGCUGUGCAGAUUCAAAGUGAUCCUGUGUCUAAACCUUUCUGUAUGAUGUCUGGUACCAAGUGAAUGCCCAGAAAACGGG
ensembl:lncRNA novel transcript